rnacentral:hammerhead_ribozyme from 1 species
AUCCAGCUGAUGAGUCCCUAAUAAGACGAAUUGCGCAUCCUGCAU